CAUCAUCAUCAUCAUCAUCACCAUCAUCAUCAUCAUCAUCAUCAUCAUCACCAUCAUCAUCAUCAUCAUCAUCAUCAUCAUCAUCAUCAUCAUCAUCAUCAUCAUUAUGAAUCAUUAAGGUGACAAGCUGGCAGGCAGAUUCGUUACCAUGCCAACCAAAAUAUUUAGCGGCAUUUCAUCUAUCUUUACAUUCUGAGUUCGAAUGCCGCCAAGGUCAACUUUGCCUUUCAUCCUUUUGGGGUCAAUAAAAUGAGUACCAGUGAAACACUGGGGUUGAUUGAACCCUUUCAGGAUUGAUGAAAUGAGUAUCAUUUCAGCUCUGGGGUUAUUGUAAAUGACCCCAAAAGUUUAAGUUUUGUGCCUAUACUAGAGAGGAUUAUUUGUUUUAAUUAUUUUUGAAAAUAAUGAAGAUUUUAGUAAAAUAACUUUGUCAUCAUUAAACUUGUGUUUGAAACAUAAAUAUUAAUUAGCAUGAAAUAUUGAUGGAAGAUUUAAAUUUCAAUUACUUUAACACAGAAAGUUUGUACCAUAGAAGCAAGGGUGGCUUCAGUUGGACUGGGGCCAAAAGAAUUAAAGUUUAUUACAUCAAAAAUGCUUGCACACACUUUACUAUUAAGUUUACAUGCAGCUGGCGUCUGUGAGCUUUUUUCUUUUUUUUCAGCUACAGUUGCAGCAAUUUACCACAAGCUGUUCAAAUGUUAAUUUAAGGGUGUAGGGUUUCACUUAGACCUUAGUUAUUUGGCUAAAUUAAGUACGUUCCACUACACACUUAACUAGUCUCGCAACAGGCUAACCACUUCAGAUACAAACCACAUCAUGAACUUCACUCCGAUUUUCUAAAUAUAAAAGUAAAUCCUUAUUAUCAGCGACGAGUAACAUUCUAACGAGUUUAACAACUAAUGAUUAUGGACAUAUAUAUGGGUGUGUGUGUGUCUGUGUUUGUAUGCACCCAUAUAUGUGUGUGUGUGUGUAUGUGUUGAUAUAUAUGUGUAUGUGUAUUAAUAUAUGUAGUAUAUAUAUGUGUGUACAUGUAUAUACAUAUACACACACAUACAAACAUGCAUUAUAAAUAUAUGCAUACACACACACAUAUAAAAUUAUGUACAUAUAUGCGCAGGAAUGGCUGUGUGGUAAGUAGCUUGCUUACCAACCACAUGGUCCCGGGUUCAGUCCCACUGCGUGGCACCUCAGGCAAGUGUCUUCUACUAUAGCCUCGGGCCAACCGAAGCCUUGUGAGUGGAUUUGGUAGACUGAAACUGAAAGAAGCCCGUCGUAUAUAUGUAUAUAUAUAUGUAUGUAUGUUUGUGUGUCUGUGUUUGUCCACCCAGUAUUGCUUGACAACCGAUGGUGGUGUGUUUACUUACAUCCCUGUAACUUAACGGUUUGGCAAAAGAGACCGAUAGAAUAAGUACUAGGCUAACAAAGAAUACAUCCCGGGGUCAAUUUGCUCGACUAAAAGGUGGUGCUCCAGCAUGGCCAUAGUCAAAUGACUGAAACAAGUAAAAGAGAGAGAGUAAAGAGUAUAUACAGAGACGUCCAUAUAUGUGUGUGUUUGUGUGUGCAUAUAUAUAUAUACAUAUACAGGUAUGGACAUCUAUGUAUAUAAUUUAUGUAUAUAUGGAUAUAUACAUGUAUAUUUAUAUAUUAUGUAUGCAUAUACAUAUAUACAUUCACGCACACACACACACACACACAUAUUUCACUCUAAAUGGACUCGAGAUGUAAGUAUUCUUAAACGGAAAUCCUAUUGUCAAUAACAUAACAUUUACAAGUUCAAAACUAGAAACUAAAUUAACUUACGAAAUAUGUCUGUCUUCUUCGUGUGUGCUCGAGCUUAUCUCGGCUUCCAUGACAUUGAAUAGUUGAAAAGGAAGGGCAUUUUCAAAUCUAAUAAUACAUUUUUCAGACAUGAAGAUUAAAUAAUGUUGAAGUUGUAUUAAGUAUAGAUUAUUGUAUGUAGAUUAUGAGUAGAAAUAGCCGAAAGUGUGUAUGUUUGUUUGUAUGUUUGUAAUUCUGCCAGAGCAGCAUGUACAGCUUGGUAACACACCUUAAGACAAUAGUCGCCAUGCAUUAUUAUAUAUCAUUUUAUACAUGUGUAUAUGUGAAGGUGCAUGGUUUAGUGGUUAGAGCAUCAGGCUCACACUCAUGAGAUAGUGGGUUCAAUUCCCAGACCAUGUGCUUUUGAGCAAGACACUUUAUUUCACGUUACUCCAGUUCACUCACCUGUAGAAAUGAGUUGUGACAUCACUGGUGCCAAGGUGUAUCGGCCCCUUUGCCUUUCUCUUGGAUAACAUCAGUAGUAUGGAGAGGGAGGCUGCUGGUCUUCCAUAAACAACCUUACCUGGACUUGUGCCUCGGAGGAGAACUUUAUAGGUGCAACCUCAUUGUAAGUUUCCUCUGUUGCAGGGAAUGUAGCACCUGCGGGGAGUGUAGCACCUGUGGAAUGUAACACCUGUGAUAUUCAAGGGAUUUCUGUAGAUAUAUAUAUAUAUAUAUAUAUAUAUAUACAUAUACAUGCAAACACACAAUGAUAUACCUUAUACCUUCUUUCAAUUUCUAACCAGCAAAUCCACUCGUAAGGUUUCUUUUUGGUCUGGAGCUAUAGAAGAAGCCACUUACCCAAGGUACCAUCCAUGCAAUGGGACUGAACCUAAAACCACAUGAUUGGGAAGCAAACUGCUUAAUCACACAGCCAUACCCAUAUCAAAAAAUCUUCUCUGCUGUAAUUCAAUGUUGAAGAAUUAUUAAAUCAAACCAAUACCAUCUGGUAGUUAUCUUGUCUGUCAAUAACUUCCAGAACAGACAAAAAAUCCAGUCCUGUGUAGAAUUAUGCUACACAAGAAGUUAAAGAGUUAAGCAUGGCUAAAGUAAAACAUGGCACAGGAAAUUAAUAUAGUGUGUUUAUGCAAAAGAAGCCAAAGAGAUAGAAGGAAAAAUUAAGUGUCUUUGGUUACAAAAAUCUGGAAGCAAUGGGAAAAUUUGAUUAUCAGAUCUGAAUUCAGCAUCACCGAUAUGGCAAGAAAUAGUAUUCUCAGGUUUGUAAGAGAAAAUAAAACAAAUUGAAAUUUA